GUGAGGAAUAUUGGUCAAUGGGCGGGAGCCUGAACCAGCCAAGUCGCGUGAAGGAAGAAGGAUCUAUGGUUCGUAAACUUCUUUUGCAGGGGAAUAAAGUGCAGGACGUGUCCUGUUUUGUAUGUACCCUGAGAAUAAGGAUCGGCUAACUCCGUGCCAGCAGCCGCGGUAAUACGGAGGAUCCGAGCGUUAUCCGGAUUUAUUGGGUUUAAAUGGUGCGUAGGGUGUUUGAUAAGUCAGCGGUGAAAGUUUGCAGCUUAACUGUAAAAAUGCCGUUGAAACUGUCGGACUUGAGUGUAAAUGAGGUAGGCGGAAUGCGUGGUGUAGCGGUGAAAUGCAUAGAUAUCACGCAGAACUCCGAUUGCGAAGGCAGCUUACUAAGCUACAACUGACACUGAAGCACGAAAGCGUGGGGAUCAAACAGGAUUAGAAACCCUUGUAGUCC
rnacentral:rRNA from 1 species